UACGGGGGGGGGCAAGCGUUGUUCGGAAUUACUGGGCGUAAAGGGCGCGUAGGCGGCCUUCUAAGUCAGACGUGAAAUCCCUCGGCUCAACCGAGGAACUGCGUCUGAUACUGGAAGGCUUGAAUCCGGGAGAGGGAUGUGGAAUUCCAGGUGUAGCGGUGAAAUGCGUAGAUAUCUGGAGGAACACCGGUGGCGAAGGCGGCAUCCUGGACCGGUAUUGACGCUGAGGCGCGAAAAGCUAGGGGGAGCAAACGGGG
rnacentral:rRNA from 1 species